CGGGGCGUGGCCGAGCCGGUAAGGCAACGGGCAUUGAUACCCAAUGCGGAGGUUCGAGUCCUUCCGCCCCAA
rnacentral:tRNA from 1 species